rnacentral:rRNA from 1 species
CCCCUAGAUGUUCUGGGCCGCACGCGCGCUACACUGAACAGUUCAACAAGUCUUAACCUUGGCCGAUAGGUCUGGGUAAUCUUUGAACGCUGUUCGUGAUUGGGAUAGACCUUUGCAAUUAUGGGUCUUCAACGAGGAAUUCCUAGUAAACGCAAGUCAUCAGCUUGCAUUGAUUACGUCCCUGCCCUUUGUACACACCGCCCGUCGCACCUACCGAUUGAGUGAUCCGGUGAAUAAUUCGGACUGCAGCAGAGUUCAGUUCCUGAACGUUGCAGCGGAAAGUUUAGUGAACCUUAUCACUUAGAGGAAGGAGAANUCGUAACA